GAAGAGGCUUUUUUUAAAGCUACUAUCAGACAUAUAAAAGGACAGG
rfam:Alligator mississippiensis ScZkoYb_26, whole genome shotgun sequence.